rnacentral:lncRNA from 1 species
CAAUCUCAUCAUUAUUUUUCUCAACUUGUCAAUUUUCUUUUCCAGUCAAAUUUUCCGACCAAAUCUUCAAUUUUUUUUUCAACAAAGGGGUUCAAGUUUCAAGAUUUGUUUUGUCGUCGAAGGAUCUGAUGAUCACUUCUUUGCAUCCGGUGUACCGGACUUGGAGGACGAUCAUGCCUUUACGGUAAGAGAUACAUUUUGAAAUAAAUUUGAAAAAAUAUCUUAUUAUAUUUGCUUCGGGUGAGUGAAGAAGAAGAUGAUAUGUUCAUUCCUUCCCCCACUAACUUAAUAAUAAUAAUAAUAUAAAAUUUUAUGUUUUCCUUUUCUUUUACUUAAUUUAAACCAUAUUUUAUAUUAAUCAAUUUAAUAAACCAUGCUACCGUUCACUAAUAAGUAUAAUGACAUGGUCUAAUUGCUGUUUUAGUCCUUUGGUUCAUUUCCUAAUUAAAAACAUGUAGUAAUUGAUUUUUACUAUUCUUAUAAUUUAGUCUCUAUACCUUAAUUAAUCAAAAAUUUGAUAAAAUUGUCUAUCCAGAAUUCAAUUCACUUACAAUAUAACUUCGUAAAUAUUUAAUAAAAAUAUUUACAAUCUCGGUUUAUGGAAACGGAAUCUCGAAACCGAAUUUUUUCGACAUCACUGGUUUUCGGAUUGUUACAUAUUUUGAAUUUAAAUUUAAAUUUAAUAUUGAUGUAUAUUCUAUAAAAAAAUUUAUGUAAAUGAUAUUCUGUUUUGAUAACAACGAUUUAACAGUAGAUGAAUUUAGAAAAAUUAUAAGUGGAAAAUAUUAAAUUAUAGAACAAUUAAAUUUCCAUUUUCUAUUCGUAUUUAAUUAUUUUUUAGAUUAUUAUAUUUAUAUUUGAAUCAUAUUUUAUCUUUAUGCAAUUAUUAGUUUAAUAUAUUUAUAUUUUAAACUUAAAUUUUAAAGUCUCUUAAAUAAAUAAUUAUUUAUAUUUUGAAUUCAACUUUAAAAAUGUCAUAAAAUUAAUUUCUUUACUAAAAUUUGUAUAUAAAGUAUUAAAUUAAUUUAUUAUAUUAAAAUGUAAGGAGAAUCACAUGUGUAGCACGUAACGCUAAAACUAGUUUAACAAAUAACACCCUUGAAAUAAAAUUGAAAGUGAUAAAUGAGAAAAGGUAAUUAAUUCAAGAUUCAGUCGUGGAAAGUAAAUUCAUGAGAUAGCAAUUGGUGAUUGUGUAUAGGAAAAUUCUCGAGACAUUAAUUAUAAUGUUGGACAAGACUUGAGUUUGGGCGUAAGAUAUAACAAUGGAGGAGCUCAAUGAGAAUAACGAGCAAACUUCUUGGCUGUUCUCGUGGCGGAAUCCUUGUGGAUAACCUUGGUGGGGUACUUCUUUAUCGCUGCAACCAAACAGUGGUCAUAGAGGCGGUCACGAGUUUCGUUGUCGAAGGAUCUGAUGAUCACUUCUUUGCGUCCGGUGUACCGGCCUUGGAGGACGAUCAUGGCCUUAUUGGCUUAUCAUUGUAAAAUUUUGACCAGCUACUGACAGAUAGAUAAAUUAAGUUCAAUUACUUAAUUGAUAAUCCUAUAAAAAAAAUACACAAA